AUGGUUUUCUUUCGCGGACACCGUUCCCGAGCUGCCGGCGCCGCGCCGUUCUUCCUCAGCUCCUCCCCGGGCCAUCGCCGAAAGCAGCACACUCAUGCUCGCGCGAACAGAGGCGGCGCAGGAAGGACGGCCCCAACGUCCACGGGGGAGCGCGCGCUGGCGGCCUGUGUAGGGAGGCUAUGCACGACGGCUGGGGACGCUGCGGCACACUGGAACUGCCGUGCAGCGUGCAAGGCGGCAGGCGACGCUGCGGUGGUGAGCAGGGAGCCCCUGUACGCGCUCGAGCUGGCGCGCACGCCAUGGAUGGCAUGUCCGGCCGCCCAACGUGUUGUCUUCGUCGACAACCUGACGCCCGACGAGCCACUGGCUUCAUGUCCGCGUGGCCUCCCCUGGUCACCGCACUCUUCCCCGUCCUCCGGCCGUGUCAAGCUUAUCCCCAUGCCUGCAAGAAAAAGCUCCCCGAUGGUCGCCCAGAAGUUGUUUGAUGAAAUGCCCCCAGAAGCUGUUUGA
rnacentral:rRNA from 1 species